UACGUAGGGGGGCAAGCGUUGUCCGGAAUCAUUGGGCGUAAAGAGCGUGUAGGCGCCAGAAAAGUCCGCUGUGAAAACUCGAGGCUCAACUUCGAGCUGUCGGUGGAAACUUUCUGGCUAGAGUCCGGAAGAGGAGAAUGGAAUUCCUGGUGUAGCGGUGAAAUGCGCAGAUAUCAGGAAGAACACCCGUGGCGAAGGCGGUUCUCUGGGACGGUACUGACGCUGGAGACGCGAAAGCGUGGGGAGCGAACAGG
rnacentral:rRNA from 1 species